rnacentral:rRNA from 1 species
AACGAACGCUGGCGGCAGGCCUAACACAUGCAAGUCGAACGCUCUAGCAAUAGAGAGUGGCAGACGGGUGAGUAACACGUGGGAAUCUUCCUAUCGGUACGGAAUAGCUCAGGGAAACUUGGGGUAAUACCGCAUACGCCCUUCGGGGGAAAGGUUUAUCGCCGAUAGAUGAGCCCGCGUCUGAUUAGCUAGUUGGUGAGGUAAUGGCUCACCAAGGCGACGAUCAGUAGCUGGUCUGAGAGGAUGACCAGCCACACUGGGACUGAGACACGGCCCAGACUCCUACGGGAGGCAGCAGUGGGGAAUAUUGGACAAUGGGCGCAAGCCUGAUCCAGCCAUGCCGCGUGAGUGACGAAGGUCUUCGGAUUGUAAAGCUCUUUUGGCGGGGACGAUAAUGACGGUACCCGCAGAAUAAGCCCCGGCUAACUUCGUGCCAGCCGCCGCAGUAA